rnacentral:rRNA from 1 species
GACGAACGCUGGCGGCGUGCUUAACACAUGCAAGUCGAACGGUGAAGCGCCUUCCUUUUUGGUGGGUGUGGAUGAGUGGCGAACGGGUGAGUAACACGUGAGUAACCUGCCCCCUUCUUCUGGAUAACCGCAUGAAAGUGUGGCUAAUACGGGAUAUUCUGGGUCUGUCGCAUGAUGGGUCUGGGAAAGAUAUUGUUUCGGUGGGGGAUGGGCUCGCGGCCUAUCAGCUUGUUGGUGGGGUGAUGGCCUACCAAGGCGGUGACGGGUAGCCGGCCUGGGAGGGUGGACGGCCACACUGGGACUGAGACACGGCCCAGACUCCUACGGGAGGCAGCAGUGGGGAAUAUUGCACAAUGGGCGCAAGCCUGAUGCAGCGACGCCGCGUGAGGGAUGGAGGCCUGCGGGUUGUGAACCUCUUUCGCCAGUGAAGCAGGCCUGCCUCGUUUGUGGGUGGGUUGACGGUAGCUGGAUAAGAAGCGCCGGCUAACUACGUG